AUGAAGGUGGGUCGUGUGGGUGGCACAUGCCCUGAAGCAUGAUGGGAAGGGGACUUUACCUCUGCGGUCUUCCUCCCCAACCCCGUAACUCCACAGGCGUUCUCGUGUUUUUGGGAGAAAAGCACCACCAAGUCCAAUUGAGGGACAGUCUACGGAAUACUUGCCCAGAGUUCCUCAAAAACGUCAAGGUCGUCAAAAACAAGGAACGUCAGGGAUACUGUCACAGCCAGGAGGGGCCUCAGGAGACAGGGUGACUCAGUGUAACGUGGGAUCUUGGAUGGGGUCGCUGGGCCAAAUCAGGAAGUCCGGUGGAAACAGGAAAUGCGAGUACAGACUUUGGUUAAUAAUAAUGUAUGAAUAUUGGUCUGUUAAUUGUAACAAAAUGCACUCAGACUAACGUAAGACAUUCAUACUGGAAGCUGGGUGUGGGGUAUAUGGGAACUCAGCACCAUUUUCAGAAUUUGUCUGUAAAUCUAAAACUACAAAAUGGAGAGUGUAUUCAAAAAAAUACCAUCAUUGAUUUUCACAGAGCUCUUGCGUUUUCCCCACCUUUACUGCAAAAUAAAGAUUUCUAGAAUUUUCAAAGCGCCUAAGGGGGUCGGCUGGGGAAUGUGUUAUGAACAAGAUGCAGCACCCCAAGAUGCUUUGGAAAUCAGUCAUCUAUUUUUAGAAUCCUUUUGGACCAAUGGUUCCUAACCUUCCUUAAAAUUCACUUCAGAAUUAACCCUUUUGCUGCUGGCUUAGUCAGAAGACAGGGGCAGUGUAGGCUCACGGCAGGGAAACGGAGGCGGACCGUGGAAGGGCCGCCUCGUCGCCUCGUGCAAGGUCAGGCCGGAGGGGGGCGGGGGGGUCGCCCCGCCCGCAGCAAACCCGACCCAGCUCCUGCACCCGGGCACCGCAGCCGGCAGGGGGCGCCCGGGAAACUACAGGCCCGCGGCAAACCGGAACCCGUUCAGGCGCCCGGGGAACCGCGGCCGGCAGGGGGCGCCAGGGACACUUGAUCCAUUUCCCCUUUUGUGUGCCUUCGGCUCUGCCACCAGGUCGCCUGCGGUGACAUCCACACAGACCCUGAUAAGGACCGCGUGUUUCCCGAGAACCAGAACGAAUCCGUCUGUGUUGGAGGCACCUGCCCUGGCCCUCGCCCCUGGCCCCGGCCCAGCCCUAGCACGCGUGUGUGGAAUGAACGAGCAGACGAACAACGGGAGUGGCAGGAGUGACAAUUCGAGACGGCUCCGACUCCCAAAUGGUGCUUUUCCACCCCGGGCCUGUUUCCUUUCCCCCUGCGCCAGGAGGAGAUGGCAGGAGGCAGCGUGCAGACAGGCAGGGGCCCUGGGGGGGGGGGGCCGGGGGCUGCCCGGAUUGGGGAGCCCCCCCCCCCCCCCCACCCCCGCCAAACCGCCCCGGGGUAGUUCUUUCUCUCGGCGCCUGGUGAGCAAACGUGUCUGGGGUAAAGCUGCCCGAGGAAUCCUACGAAACCUGCGGUAACAUCUGGGGAAACGCCACCCCGCUGACCUCAGCACUUCCUCCCAGUGAGGACGGCGUGUCAAUUUCCAUCCCUCCGUGUUCAGCGUCAAGGCCAUACCACAGCCUCUUUAUUAUGCUCUAACAUUUCUAGCAGUGCCUCUGCCUGCUUCGUAUUUCAGGGAAAUUACACUUAGAUGAGCAGUAAUUUCUGGGUAUAAUAAGAUCGAAGCAAUUGUACUUGGGUCUCUCACUCCAUACGGGGAGGUCACCUUCUAUUUCACAGUGAUGGAUGGAUCCAGGCUUGCUAUUAUCUCAACCGUCUGAAGUCAGAGUAUUUUAAUUGACCAGCACAUCUAUCUAGUGACAAAUGUAGGAAAUGCUUCCUCCAUUAGAAAUGAAUUGAUUGAAAAGGAAAAGGAGGAAAGGAAAAAAAAAAAAAAAACGGGAGAGAGAGGCUGUAAUUUUCAGUUUGUCCAAAGUCACAGAAUGUGUUCUUUUCAAAAAGUAUUUAUUUUCCCAGCAAGAUAAUAGUGCAUCUCCUUCUGUAUGAGCGUUCUUUGUUCUCACGAGGCGUCUGAUGAUUUGGCAAAGGAAUCUGGUGAUUUUACUCGUCACAAAAACGCCACGUGGAAAGUCACAACCCAGGCGCGGGGGCAAGAUGUCCGAGAUGACCGCGAUACCAUUGCAGAAGAGACCCCACUUUCUGCCUGCUAACGCCGUCCUCUGGAUCACAUCUACCAGCCAAGGCAGAGCCCACGUGCACCGAUGCAGACUGCGCUCCUGCACCCCUCGUACCCCAGCCCCCGCCCCCAUACCCACUCCGCCCCCAACCGGGGCUCUGGUGCGCCAGGCCCUUUAUAUGCACUUCCUGCUACACACACGUUCCUCCAGAAGAGCGACCUGAGGGCAGGGAGAUGAUGAGGAGAGAUCAGCGGUUCUCGGCGGCGUGUGGUCCCCGGGCCCCUGAAACUUUCACGGGGUCUGUGAGGUCAAAACCGUUGUUAUAAGACCCAGACGUUAUUUAGGGAUCUGGCUCACAAUGACAUCUGUACUCCCUGCUUUGCACCGUGCGGCAGGUGGGAGUGCCAGUGCCCGAGUCCUCGCCUCCCUCGGUCACCGCGCUCUCCCCCGCACGCGCCGGGCAAAGCCGGGAGGCCAGACUCGCUGAGCGAUGGCCUCAGGGAAGCAGAAAUGCCCAAUCCCCUUAAAUCUCGGCCGCUUUAACAUUCUGUGUGACGACACGCGGCGAGCUUGCGCACGGAGGCACGUCUGCUCCAGGAAAACGCUACGUGGUGGGGCUUCAGAGAGAACCAGCCACCCUUGUCAUGGAGCGUCGAUCGUUUGUGCUUGGAGGGGUGACCAACUGGUUAUUCAGACUUGGGUAUUUGGUCGACGUUUCCUUGAAAAUGAAGUGAGCCUCAAGGAAAGCGACUGACAAGUAUUCACCGUCAGUGAUAAAAUGUGAGCUUCCGGGCAAAAACUGGACUCUGGGGGAACUUGUACCCGCCCCCACGAACUUGGGCAGCUUAAGGAUUCUCCUGAUGAAAUCGGUGAUGGCAUUACCAACCGUGAUCUUUUUAUCUUACACGAUCAUGACUGGACCACUAUUUGGAAGAUCUGCAUAUUUUCUGGGUCUUGGGCGCCUGGGUGGCUCAGUCGGUUGAGUGUCUGACUUCGGCUCAGGUCACGAUCUCGUGGUUCAUGAGUCUGAGUCCCGCACCGGGCUCU